UGGGGAAUCUUGGACAAUGGGCGCAAGCCUGAUCCAGCCAUGCCGCGUGGAUGAUGAAGGCCCUAGGGUUGUAAAAUCCUUUCGUUGGGGACGAUAAUGACGGUACCCAAAGAAGAAGCUCCGGCUAACUUCGUGCCAGCAGCCGCGGUAAUACGAAGGGGGCUAGCGUUGUUCGGAUUUACUGGGCGUAAAGAGCUCGUAGGCGGUUUGUCGCGUCUGCUGUGAAAACUGGAGGCUCAACCUCCAGCCUGCAGUGGGUACGGGCAAACUAGAGUGCGGUAGGGGAGAUUGGAAUUCCUGGUGUAGCGGUGGAAUGCGCAGAUAUCAGGAGGAACACCGAUGGCGAAGGCAGAUCUCUGGGCCGUAACUGACGCUGAGGAGCGAAAGCAUGGGGAGCGAACAGGAUUAGAUACCCACGUAGUCCCUGAGCGGGCUGGCAAGGCGCAU
rnacentral:rRNA from 1 species